AACCCACUGUCUUUGAAAAGCCAGGGGAUGACUUGUGGAUCGGAGUGAAAGGCUAAUCAAGCCCGGAGAUAGCUGGUUCUCCCCGAAAGCUAUUUAGGUAGCGCCUCGGACGAAUACCACAGGGGGUAGAGCACUGUUUCGGCUAGGGGGUCAUCCCGACUUACCAACCCGAUGCAAACUCCGAAUACCUGUGAGUACUAUCCGGGAGACACACGGCGGGUGCUAACGUCCGUCGUGAAGAGGGAAACAACCCAGACCGCCAGCUAAGGUCCCCAAGUACCAGUUAAGUGGGAAACGAUGUGGGAAGGCUCAGACAGCUAGGAGGUUGGCUUAGAAGCAGCCACCCUUGAAAGAGUGCGUAAUAGCUCACUGGUCAAGUGAUUCCGCGCCGACAAUGUAACGGGGCUCAAGCACACCACCGAAGCUGUAGAUUUCGU
rnacentral:rRNA from 12 species